rnacentral:rRNA from 1 species
GGACUACAGGGGUAUCUAAUCCCGUUCGCUCCCCACGCUGUCGUGUCUGAGCGUCAGGGGCGAGCCAGGAGGCCGCCUUCGCCUCUGGGGUUCCUCCGGAUCUCUACGCAUUUCACCACUACACCCGGAAUUCCGCCUCCCUCUCUCGCCCUCUAGGCUCUCAGUCUGGCAUAACCCCUCCAGGUUGAGCCCGGAGAUUUCAUACACCACUUGAGAACCCGCCUGCACACCCUUUACGCCCAGUAAAUCCGGAUAACGCUUGCCACCUACGUUUUACCGCGGCUGCUGGCAC